AGAUGCGUAAAUGUUUACAAGAACAGUAUGAGGAGAAAUGUCGAAGAUUGACGGAACAGUUCCGUGAUGUUGGUUUUGCCAAAGAAUCUGAGAAUACACCUUUAUAAAACAUUCCGUUCACUUUUCUACAUUCCUGUCAUACUAUAUGCAUGUCAUUACCAUGACAACAAUCAUGUGACAUUGGUACCUGAUCUCAUGUUAACCUACAAAUAACUGUUUUUUAAUGUGUUGUAAAAAUAGAUGGAACCAUGUGAUAAACACUCUAAACCAUGUGACCUAUUAUGUAAUUAGCAACUUUUUAUGUAAUGGUUUUUAAAUGUCUGUGCUGUUACCAUGGUAAUCAUUGCCUCUGUGUGAUAUGCACAAUAAAACCGUGAUACAAUGGCAUAUGGCACAAUGAAUGCAAUGGUCAGUGGAUUUUGAAUAACAUUCUUAACAUGUAAUGAAGGUCAUCUUUAUUAAAAGAAAACCUUGUCUUGUCUGAUGGUCAAUGGAUUUUGAAUAACAGUCUAAACUGUAAUGAAAGUCACCUUUAUUUUAAAAAAAAGCUGUCAUGUCUGGUCACUUUCUACUUUGUCCAUCUGUAAUAAAAC
rnacentral:lncRNA from 1 species